GCCGCUCGCUCCGGUUCAACGGCAACCACGCACACACGCCCUCCCUCCCGCGGCAUCUCGACGUGGGCGUGAGGACUCCCUCGUGAUCUUGCGUGAUUGGAUACACCAUCACCAGACACAGAAGAGCCGGAUUAUAUGCGUCAAGGAAAUGUUAUA